UCCUCAGUAGCUCAAUCGGUGGAGCAGUCGGCUGUUAACCGAAAGGUCGUAGGUUCAAGUCCUACCUGGGGAGCCA
rnacentral:tRNA from 1 species